AUUGAACGCUGGCGGCAUGCCUUACACAUGCAAGUCGAACGGUAACGGGUCCUUCGGGAUGCCGACGAGUGGCGAACGGGUGAGUAAUAUAUCGGAACGUGCCCAGUAGUGGGGGAUAACUGCUCGAAAGAGCAGCUAAUGCCGCAUACGACCUGAGGGUGAAAGGGGGGGAUCGCAAGACCUCUCGCUAUUGGAGCGGCCGAUAUCAGAUUAGCUAGUUGGUGGGGUAAAGGCCUACCAAGGCAACGAUCUGUAGUUGGUCUGAGAGGACGACCAGCCACACUGGGACUGAGACACGGCCCAGACUCCUACGGGAGGCAGCAGUGGGGAAUUUUGGACAAUGGGCGCAAGCCUGAUCCAGCAAUGCCGCGUGCAGGAAGAAGGCCUUCGGGUUGUAAACUGCUUUUGUCAGGGAAGAAAUCUUCUGGGCUAAUACCCCGGGAGGAUGACGGUACCUGAAGAAUAAGCACCGGCUAACUACGUG
rnacentral:rRNA from 1 species